rnacentral:lncRNA from 1 species
GUUGAAAUCCCUUAAAUUGAGGGAUUUAGUUAGGCAACUUUCCUGAUUUAGAUUCUUGAUUUUUUCCUUGAUUUAGUUUCCUUUCUUUUCUCUUGUAAUCUCCCAUAUAUUACCAUGUAUUAUCAAAGGUGAAAUAAGAGGAUUAUUCCAUUAAUUAUUCACGUCAUGGUAUCAGAGCCCUAGGGCUUUUUCUGGGAUUUAUUUCUUGACUUCGUGCAGCUUUCAUUGCUGCUUCCUAGUUUUUUUUUCUCUGGAAUUUUUCUUUCUUCUUCUCCGCGCAGCCUUUAUCGAUGCUAUUCCUUCUCUCCAGUCUCUAAUUCUUGAUAGGGCAAACUUAAUUGCUGCAAAUCUCCUUCCUUCACUAUGUUAGCCUCCCAAAACACCAAAACCACUGAAGCCACCAUCUCUAGCAAUCCCAAUCUAGCCAAUGAGUUCAAUUCUGUUCAGAAAAUUGGAGAUCUACAGAAUUUUCGGGCCCCUUAUAGGCUCAAUGGGGACAACUACCUCAAGUGGUCUCAAUUUGUCCGAACAUACCUCAAGGGCAAAGGGAGACUCAACCAUCUUCUUGGAGCAAGACCGGCAAUAGAUGAUCCGACAUUUGGAACAUGGGAUGAGGAGGAUUCCAUGAUAAAUGUCUUGGCUAUGGGAAUCUAUGGACCCCAUGAUCAGUGACACGUGCAUGUUUCUCUCUACUGCAAAGGAGAUUUGGGAGUUCAUCCGUAGCACAUAUUCAAAGGCCCACGACACUGCUCAAGUAUAUGAGAUCAAUGUUAAAACAAUAGCCAUUGAGUAAGGGAACAAAUCUGUCACUGAGUAUGCAAAUUUACUGCAAUAUCUAUGGCAAGAACUCGAUCAUUACUGAGUUUUCGAGAUGAAAUGCUCUGGAGACGCUGCUAUCUUGAAGAGUUUCAUUGAAAGGAACCGGGUCUAUGAUUUUUUUGCUGGAUUAAUCCUGAAUUUGAUCAGGUUAGGAUUCAAAUCCUUGGCAAGGAGGACACACUGUCUCUAGAAGAAACAAUCUCACUGAUUCGAGCAGAAGAAAGUCGAAGGAGUGUUAUGCUUGAACCACAAAUAGUGGACGGAUCAGCCCUAGCAGCAAAACCCAAUCAUCUGGAGAAGGGAAGAACAGAUCUACCUAAAUUUUCUGGUAGGGAAAAUCAAUUGAAGGAAAACAAAGACAAUCUCUGGUGCACUCUUUGCAAGAAACCGAGGCACAAAAGAGGGGACUGCUGGAAAUUGAAUGGGAAACCACCAAGCCGAGAGUGGGGAAACCGUUGGGGGACAGCAGAGCCGAGAGUGGGAAAACUGGUGGGGACAGUAGAGACCUCAAGCACACCUGGUAGAGCAGCCCCAACCUGAGAAAAAUUCAGCAACCGGAGGGUUCAACAGUGAAGAAAUUAAGAAGCUGAAAAACCUCUUGGCAUCUCUUGAAAAGUCUUCGGGAGCUUGCUCUUUGGCUCUUUCAGGUAAACCAUCAUUUCUUUUUUGUAUGAAUGCCUCAGAAAAUUUUCCUGCCGACUCAUGGAUAAUAGAUUUAUGUGCAACAGACCAUAUGACCCCUACAGCCCAAUUUUUCCACACAUAUACCCCAUGUCCAAGUAAUCGAAAAAUUGCAGUGGCCAAUGGUUCUUUAGCUAAUGUUGCAGGUUUCAGCGAUAUACAUAUCACACCUAUCAUUGUCCUUAAAAAUGUCCUCCAUGUACCAAAAUUGUCGGCCAAUCUUGUUUCUAUUCAAAAACUUACCCAUGAUCUUAAAUGUUGUGCUACUUUUUUCCAUUCUUAUUGUGUUUUUCAGGAAUAGGGCUCGAAGAGGAGGAUUGUACUUGCUAAGGAAAGAAGCGGCUGUUACCACCUUGAAUCUUCUCAGAAAGUUAGAAGCAAUUUACCUUUAUCUUUUCUUAGUUCAUCGAAUAAAGAUACUAUUUGGUUGUAUCAUUUGCGUCUAGGUCAUCCAUCUUUUAGAGUUUUAAAAGUCAUGUUUCCCCAUUUGUUCCAAGGAUUAGACAUUCCUGAGUUUCAUUGUGAUAUUUGUGAACUGGCCAAGCAUACUCGUGUAUCUUUUCCUAUUAGCAAUAAAAGAAGCUCUAUUCCUUUUCAUUUGAUUCAUAGUGACAUAUGGGGACCUUCUACUAUACCUAAUGUUUCUGGGGCUCGUUGGUUUGUAUCCUUAAUUGAUGAUUGCACUCGGGUUACAUGGCUCUUUCUACUUAAACAAAAAUCUGAGGUUGGUAACGUUAUACCUAAUUUCCACUCAAUGGUUCAAAACCAAUUUGGGGUUAAAACAAAAAGCUUUAGGACAGACAAUGCCAGGGACUACUUCAACCAGGUUUUAUCAUCCUACUUUCAAUAACAGGGCAUUAUCCAUGAUUCAUCAUGUGUUAACACACCUCAACAAAAUGGGGUGGCUGAAAGGAAAAAUGGGCACUUACUCAACACCACCCGAGCUCUACUAUUUCAAGGAAAUGUUCCUAAGUCCUAUUGGGGAGAAGCUAUCUUUACUGCCAAAUACAUGAUAAAUAGACUCCCUUCACGUGUUUUGGAAAACAAAAGUCCCAUAGAAGUCCUUAAUAGCUUCUACCCUCACUUCAGAACAUCAAAUGGCCUCAUAUAUAGGGUUUUUGGGAGCACUACCUUUGUUCAUAUCCACAACCAACAUAGAAGCAAAUUAGACCCUCGAGCCAUCAAUUGUGUCUUCCUUGGUUACUCAUCCACUCAAAACGGGUACAAAUACUACAACCCCUCAUCCAGAAAAUUUUACAUCUCUGCAGAUGUCACUUUCACAUAAAAUAAACCCUUUUUCUCCAAGGCCUCUCUUCAGGGGGAGAAUUCAAUGAUCGAAGAUAGUCCUUGUGAGACCUUUGAAUCACUCAAAAACCUUAACCUCCCUUGUGUUCCGAACCCUAGUUUUGAGUUCGAAUCCAAGCCCUUAGAGCAAAUCACAUCAGAGUCACCCAAUUCUCCCACUGAACCUGAGUUAUCUCAUAUCCCAGUCAGUACCACUAAACCUGAGUUAUCUCCUAUCCCAGUCAGUGUCCCUAACAAACUUCCAAGGUUUUCUCAGGUGUAUUCAAGGAGAAAGGCCAUUCCAGAACUGACACAAGUCCAAGAUUCCAACUUAGACCCUGCGAAUGAGAUCACGGUAAGAUCUGAUCCACCUUUACACACACAACCUUUUGAAACAUCUAGUGAACCAACAAAUGACCUUUCCAUUGCUAUUAGAAAAGGUACCAGAGAAAGCACUAAACAACCACUCUAACCAUUAUCUCACUAUGUAUCUCUUGAGCACCUGUCACCAACCCACAAAAAGUUCAUUGUGAGUCUAAACACCAUUGCUAUCCCUAAUAUUGUUUCUGAGGCAUUAUCAAAAAGGGAACGGAGGGAUGCUAUGAGAGAGGAGAUGAGUGCAUUGGAAAAGAAUAAAACAUGGGAGAUUGUUGAUACACUAAAAGGGAAAAACAUUGUUGAUUGCAAGUGGAUUUUCACAACAAAAU